UGGGGAAUAUUGCACAAUGGGCGCAAGCCUGAUGCAGCCAUGCCGCGUGUAUGAAGAAGGCCUUCGGGUUGUAAAGUACUUUCAGCGAGGAGGAAGGCGUUGUGGUUAAUAACCGCAACGAUUGACGUUACUCGCAGAAGAAGCACCGGCUAACUCCGUGCCAGCAGCCGCGGUAAUACGGAGGGUGCAAGCGUUAAUCGGAAUUACUGGGCGUAAAGCGCACGCAGGCGGUAUGUCAAGUCGGAUGUGAAAUCCCCGGGCUCAACCUGGGAACUGCAUCCGAAACUGGCAGGCUAGAGUCUUGUAGAGGGGGGUAGAAUUCCAGGUGUAGCGGUGAAAUGCGUAGAGAUCUGGAGGAAUACCGGUGGCGAAGGCGGCCCCCUGGACAAAGACUGACGCUCAGGUGCGAAAGCGUGGGGAGCAAACA
rnacentral:rRNA from 1 species